UGUUUAAUUUUUAAAUAUUUGUGGAUUUUACAGAUAUUUUUGUUAUUGAUUUUUAAUGUUGUUACAUUGUGGUCUAGUGAGAUAACAUACUCUGUAGGGUUUGAAUAUCUUUAAAUUUACUGAAACGGAUUUUAUAGCCCAAUAUGUGCCCUUCUGUGUCCUCUAAGAUAAAUGUCCUAUGUGCACUUAGAAAGAGUGUGUGUUUCAGAGUUGACUGUGUGGAGAAUUCUAUAAAUAUCAGUUCAGUUUGAUUGGUUGAUAGUGUUGUUCAAGUCUUCUGUAUCCUUACUAACUUUUGUGUCCUUUUGUUCUAUCAAUUACUGAGAGGGAUAUUAAAAAUCGCAAACUACACUUUUAUAUUUGUGUGUUUUUUCUUUCAGUUCUGUCAGUUUUUUUCUUUUUGUAUUUUCAAACUUUGUUAUUACGUGCAUAUGUGUUGAAUAGUGUAAGUCUUCUUGAUCAAUUGACCCUUUUAUGAUGAUAAAAUAUUUCCCUUUAAUCUGGAAAUAUUUCAUGAAGUCUACUUUGUCUGAUAUCAAAGUAGCCACUCUAGCUUUAUAAUUAAUAUUUGCCUGGUAUAUCAUCUUGUGAACCUUUAACUUUUGCCUAUAUGUAUCUUUGUAUUAAAAAAUUAAACCUUGUAGAAAACAUAUAGUUGGAUGUUACUUUUCAACCAAGUAUAAUAGUAUCUCUUAAUAGAUGAUUUUGGUCCAUUUUUACCUAAUACAAUUCUUGAUAUGACUGUGUUAAGUCAGUUAACUAUCGAUUUAUUGGUUUCAUUUAUUAUUUGUUUUAUUUUCAUUUCUCUCUCCCUUCUUUUGAAUUAAAAAAUUUUGUAUUUCAUUUUAUUUUCACUAUUUCCUUAUUAGCUAUACCUUUUUAAAUAGUUUGCUCUAGGGUUUAUAUAAUGUCUUUUAUUAAUUUUUUCUUCUGUAAUUGUAGAAUCUGUUUUUAAAUCUUCCCUGCUUGGUGGGCUUUUUGUUUUAGAUACUGGGGUUUUUUUUUUUUAGCUUUAGAUGGCUGAUUUGUUUCUUUUAAUAAUUUUCAUUUACUUAUUUAUGUUCAUGUUUUCCCUUAAUUGCUUGAACAAAUUUAUAAUAGUUGUUUUAAAGUCCUUGUUUGCUCAUUCCAUCUUUGUCGUUUCUAGUUCUGCUUCUAUUGGCUGAUUUUCCCUUUCAUUAUGGGUUACACUUCUUGUUUAUGGCAUGUCUAAUAAUUUUGAUUAGAUUCUGGCUAUUGUGAAUAUUCCAUUAUUAGCUUGAAUUUUCUUGUGUUUCUUUAAAGAUUAUUGAUUUUUGCUCUGGCAAUAAAUUAAAUUAAUUUCAGGUCAGUUCUAUCACUUUGAGGCUUUUUUUUAAAAAAGAAUCUAGAGUAUCCUCUGCUCCGGGAUAGUUUAGCCCUACUAAUAAGGCAUACUCUUUCUGAAUUUCACCUGAAUGCAUCAAGCAUCCAAUGAGGUCUUUCCAUUCUGGCUGGCCUGAACUCAAAUAUCUCCCAAUCUUGUGCAAGUUCUGACAGUGGCUCAGCUUAUAUUGCCCCAUGAUUUAUCGUUCCUUAAUCAUUAUUAUUUCCUAGAGUUCACAGAGUUUGACCUUAAACAUAUCCAUCUUAUUGUUUAGCCAAAGAUUCAAGAGGAUCCUCUGCAGAUUUCUGAGACUUAUUUUGUGCUGCUCUUUCACUCUGGUACUCUUGUCUCACAAGUUCCAUCCAGCUGCCUCAGCCUUCCUGAACUCUAGUCUCUGACUCUUUGAAUCAAUGAGACUGCCAUACUCUGCUUGAAUUCCCCUUUCCUGAAACUAGAAAAUGCCUUGAAAUAAAAGGCUAGGCUACGGCAGGGCUCACCUUACUUUAUUCUCUUCUCCCUGAGAUCUCACGCCUGAAAUGCUUCUUGUUCAAUAACUGAAAAUAGCUAUUUCAGAUAAUAUUUUUGUGUAGUUUUCUAGUUGCUGACACUUGGUGGACUAGAUGCGUGUUAGUUACUUCAUUCUGACCAUAAACACUCUCACUACAAUUUAAUUUUAUUCCGUUUUUCAUGACUCCUUUCCAGUCAAUUUUCAGCUGAUCCUUAUACACAAUUUGAUGUUCUUCCAUGUGUUUAGACCUUUCAGGCCUUCCUCAAAUGCAUUUUCCCCUUUCUUUCUAUGCCUCACUCCUUACAAAAGCUAUUUCAAACUCACCUUCUCCAGAAAACUCCUAUGAUUAAUCCAUCUACCCUCUUUUUUCACCUGCCCUUUGUUGUGGUUUGUGCUUAGUUUCUACUACAUUAAAUUGCACUUUUGGCCAUGUAGUUUUGUUAAAUUUUUGGCAGUUAUUUUGUGUGUGGCUGUUUUGCUGAUGAUUAUAAGCAGAAGCUUAUAAAUAGAAAAAACCCAUCUUUCAUUUAUUCCCUUUGUUGUAAACCCACCUAACUCAACUGACUGUUCCCAAUUAGGUAAAUAUUGGUGGCCUUCCAUUGUUUGGUGGAGAGGCAUUGCAUUAUGAAACAAAUGAAGCUAAAUAUGAGAACUCCCAUGUGAUGGACCACUUCCAAGGCCCUGGGAGGGUCCCCAGCCAUCUGUUGACGUGGUAGAUGGUUUUAUAAAUUUUGCAAAGGACAGAUUUGAACUACAGUGGAAUAAAGCACUCUCUCUUUCCAUUAUGAAUUUCUUUCAGCCAAUCUCCCCUUUCAGGUGGUGGGGAGUGACCGUAAGCAUUUUGGGGAUCUAGUUAAGGAAAGUAGAGCUGGUGAUACAUUUAGCUGAGGUUUAGUGGGAGGUAUUUAUGUGGUUUGCAGAUAUUUCCAUGUAUAGUCAACUUAUUCCUAGCUGUCCUGUGCAGGAUAUUCUUACCACCCACGGGGCAAACUUACCAAGGGAUAUAACAGGACGAUACAGAACCAGAGCACCUAUGCAACACGAACCUAUGCUAUGGCACCCAGCACUGGAUCCUUAUAGGGAGAGGGGAAGAAGCAAGGUUUUAAUUGUGCAAAGCCAGAAACUAAUCUCUGGAAGUGUCUAUCAAGACAUAAAAAUUUCUAAGUGGAGGAUUCUGUUCUCAUCCAUUUCUAGUGAAGGACUUCUGUCAGAAGUGUGUUCUAUAUGCAAUGUAUACAAUUAUAAACAGUCCAUGAUGUUUUCUUUUUUGAAGAUAUUAUGCAAAACUAAAUUCAUAAGAAGUUUUCUGUUUAUGGUGCACAACCUUGUGGAAGAACUACAAAUAGUGAAGUUGUCUAUUGAAGUUGCAUAUUUUAUGAAUCUUAAAAAUUAACAUGGGAAAAAUUUUGAUCCACUAAGAGGAAGCAAUGAAUUAUUUUAUUCUCUCUAUAGAAAGUAUUACAACAUGGUGGUGACAUGAGGACAUCAGAGAGGAUGUGGCCAAAAAAUCUGCUUUUUCAUUGAGUCCUGUGAAGCUCAGCCUGCAGAGGGUACCAGAAGGGAAGCUUCAGCUACAGUGUAUCUGGUCUGAUCUGUUCUGCAUAUUAAAGUUCAUGCUAUUUUCUUUGUGAUAAAUAAAGGGUGUUCCACUGC